rnacentral:lncRNA from 1 species
AGUCAGUCUCAAUAUACAACCCUCAAACUGCUCAAUGCGUACCGACUGAUCAGUAAUCAUCUGAAAAAUAAUGAAAAUAUGAGGGAUCAGUAUCUGAUCAGAUACAUCCUGAGAUAUCGAUCCCUGUGCAAAGACUGAAGUACCAAACUAUCGAGAUAGAAUGGAGGCUACAUGCUGGGAUAUCAUCUCAAUCUGAUCAUCUGCCAAUUUGAGCUCUAAAGGAUGUGCCCUGCUGUCCGGCUGUGGAACUGAAGUAUGUCUCAUCGCAGACUCUGAUGGGCCAG